UUGCUCCUUUAUUUAUUUUAAGUGUGGCAUCUAAGGAAUGGACAGAAACCAUCAACUCUUUUUUUUUUUUUGGCCUGGGAUGACAAAUAACUUUGGUGCGGCUAUAAAACACUACACUCAGGGCAGGAUUUCACUGGCUGGAGGAUGAAAAACUCUGCACAGUGUCACUAGUUUUUUCCAUACCCGGGUUUACCUUUUUCGUGCUGGUCCUGAGCAGCUCACACUACUGCUGGGGCACAGCCAGAGUGCUAGAAAGGAUAAUGACGCUAAAUGGCGAUGGGGGCAAGUACCACUAUCUGUUGCUGAGUUUGUUUGUGCUCCAUUCCCAUUCCGAUCUCAUCCAAUUUCCAAAAAGGCUUUGGCUCUAAGUAUUUGACAGUAUGCCACCACACAAACAAAUGAUUUACUUGCCCAGAUACUUCCUCCAGAUCAGAUGACAGACUGAGGUGGGGAUGACUGCACCAAGCUACAAUCAGCAGAGAUGUACAAGCAAGUCAGUGGGCAGAGGGAAAAGGAGGAGUGGGUGGGUUAGGGAGAAGGGAGUCAAGGAGAGGCUGGGUGUGAACGAGCUGCUAAUGAGGCUGAUAAGGAAUGCAUGGAGAGGAAUGAAGAGAGCAGUAAACAGGAGAGAUGACUGGAGGUCUCCUGCUACCCUGUGUGGCUCUGCUGUAGUUCAAAAUCCUGGAAGAAGGCUGUUAUCUGUCAGUUUUCUCUUCCUCUGUGAUAGGAGUCCUCAUCAGCAAGUUGAAGUGACAGCUCAUUUAAUUUGGGGUGAAAGCCUCCAUCUUUCACACUUUUGGAGAAUUAAGAGAUAAGGAGCAGCUCCAAGAUGCAGCUCUGGUGGAUGUCCUGCAGCGUCUGCCGACAGAUUGCCUGUGCCUUCAGGCAUGCAGCUGAUGCCCGGAAGGAAGGAUGCCCAAAGCUUUGAUCUGCUCUGUGUGUGGCACACUCCCUCCUGCAAGGCACUGGAUUGAUGUGACACUUCCAGCCUGGCCUGAAACCUCCAAUCUCUGUCACUGGCUGGGUUGAGUGUGGUUUUGCUGAAGAGGAUGACAGGGUGAAGCUGCCCUGUGUGCCAAGCCAGCGGUGCUGCUCCACGGUGUCAGCGCAGGUGGUGGCACCAGUGGUGGGAGACAUCACCUGUGCCCAACCGCAGCAUCAGCAUCUCUUCACCAGCAACCAGGGGAGCCUGGACUGCCCAAAAAAACACUUAGCCUUGAGCAUUUCCAGGUGGUACUCUGUGAAUUCACUAAGUUUCUGCCUGCCUGCUGAUCAGGGUAAAUCUGUAGGUUGAUGACUUCAGUCUAUAUUGACUCAAAGAGGGUUUUGUCUAAAGUUCAUGCCCAUUUUUUAAGAAUACCUGGGCGAAGUUUCCUUUUUUCAUCUGAAACAACAGCAAAAAUGUAUGUAUUGAAAGAUGUAAAAGGCAUUCAAGAAAUGCACAAAUCAUCCUUUCAGGCAGGCUGAGCAGUGGGACUCAGUUAAAUCAUUGAUAGCAUCUGUUUUGAUUUUUUGAGUGGUUUUAAAUUCUAUAGUUACAAUAAACAAUUUUGAGCAAUCUUUCCUAGGUAGCUUUCAAUAUAUUCCUUUGUUUUUUCAAUCACUGUUACUAUGCUCUGCCAAACAUCAGUGCAAGUUGUGUGACUACAGCUAGAUAAAUCAAUUCUUUCUGAUAAUGUUGCAAAAAAUACAUAUAAAUAAAUAGAUUCAGGGACAAUUUGUUCAACAAGAAUCUAUAGAGCAGAGGGGAUUCUGGAGUCAUCUUCAAAGUGUAUGCUGAUGUUUUUAAAAUGACCUAUGAACAUCUCUCUAGUCCGUUAAGAGUCCAGAGGGAUUUUCAAUAUGAUAGAUUUGGGUUAUUAAAUUACUGUUGGAAAUGUGGAGCUGACCUCCAGUGGCAUAUAUUUCUGUGAAAACAUUAGGAAACAUUUUACUUGGUGAACUUUCCUCUAUUGUUUCUUUUCUAAAAUCAAAAUAAACAAUAGAAAUAUAUUGGAUGAGGCAAGAAAACAAAAGAGCCUAUUUUGUUCCAUUUUCUGAUGAGUAAUACAGUCUAACUGCUAACAAAUGCUAGACACAUCUACUUUCAGCAGAUAGUCUCAGUCCAAGAUGCCUUUGAACUUGCAUGUAAAACAAAAUGAAAUUACUAUCCCUUUUCUGCUGAUUUGACUAGAGAUGGUGAGAAACAUAUCCUCCCUGUACCAGUGCUUCAUUGCACAAUGCUGACUGA